UACGUAGGGUGCGAGCGUUACUCGGAAUUACUGGGCGUAAAGCGUGCGCAGGCGGUUGUGCAAGACAGAUGUGAAAUCCCCGGGCUUAACCUGGGAACUGCAUUUGUGACUGCACGGCUAGAGUACGGCAGAGGGGGAUGGAAUUCCGCGUGUAGCAGUGAAAUGCGUAGAUAUGCGGAGGAACACCGAUGGCGAAGGCAGUCCCCUGGGCCUGUACUGACGCUCAUGCACGAAAGCGUGGGGAGCAAACAGG
rnacentral:rRNA from 1 species